rnacentral:rRNA from 1 species
AAUAUUUUACAAUGGGCGAAAGCCUGAUCCAGCCAUGCCGCGUGUGUGAAGAAGGUCUUCGGAUUGUCGAGCACUUUAAGUAGGGAGGAAGGGCAUGAAGUUAAUACCUUUCUUUGUUGAUGUUACCAACAGAAUAAGCACCUGAUAACUUCGUGCCAGCAGCCGCGGUAAUACGAAGGGUGCAAGCGUUAAUCGGAAUUACUGUGCGUAAAGCGCGCGUAGGUGGUUCGUUAAGUUGGAAGUGAAAGCCCCGGGCUCAACCUGGGAACUGCUUUCAAAACUGGCAAGCUAGAGUAUGGCAGAGGGUAGUGGAAUUUCCUGUGUAGCGGUGAAAUGCGUAGAUAUAGGAAGGAACACCAGUGGCGAAGGCGACUACCUGGACUGAUACUGACACUGAGGUGCGAAAGCGUGGGGAGCAAACAGG